rnacentral:miRNA from 1 species
ACGAAGACGACUGAGUUCGA